GAUGAACGCUGGCGGCGUGCCUAAUACAUGCAAGUCGAGCGAACGGACGAGAAGCUUGCUUCUCUGCUGUUAGCGGCGGACGGGUGAGUAACACGUGGAUAACCUACCUAUAAGACUGGGAUAACUUCGGGAAACCGGAGCUAAUACCGGAUAAUAUUUUGAACCGCAUGGUUCAAAAGUGAAAGCCGGUCUUGCUGACACUAAUAGAUGGAUCCGAGCUGCAUUAGCUAGUUGGUACGGUAACGGCUUACCAAGGCAACGAUGCAUAGCCGACCUGAGAGGGUGAUCAGCCACACUGGAACUGAGACACGGUCCAGACUCCUACGGGAGGCAGCAGUAGGGAAUCUUCCGCAAUGGGCGAAAGCCCGACGGAGCAACGCCGCGUGAGUGAUGAAGGUCUUCGGAUCGUAAAGCUCUGUUAGUAGGGAAGAACAUAAGUGUAAGUAACUGUGCACAUCUUGACGGUACCAAAUCAGAAAGCCACGGCUAACUACGUG
rnacentral:rRNA from 1 species